rnacentral:lncRNA from 1 species
GGUAGUCUUGAAAUAUCAGUGAAUUUCAGAAGAACUAUAGCUUAUGCAAAUAGUGCUUUUUUGGUGGUCUUCCUGAAAUGGAUUUUGUCUUUGGCUUCCCCCAAAACUUGGAAACGAAACAGCUCAGCUCACAUCAAACUAUUUGAGAAUAAUUCUAACAGGAUAUUUGCUAAUUAACAGCAGGCAAAGGAUCAAAGAAGGGAUAGAUCAACAUAAUCAGAAGUGGCUCAUGGAAAAGCUGAACCAUAAAGGAUGAAUAAGAAUCACAUGGGAAUGCAGGCGAUGCUUCAGUUAACAGUAAUGCCGCAAUCUGAUCCACAAAUCUUGGCUCCACGUGCAACAGAAAACUGAAGAGCCAUUUCUCCAUUGUACCCAUAUUUAUUUUGAUACAAGAAAGAGAAUUUUUGUUUUGUUGUCAUUAUGUUAUUACUCUCUGCCCCACCCCACCUCCACACACUACAUCUUUCAUUUUAUAGAACUCAAUAGCAAAGAUUCUUUAUACUUAAUUGGAAAGAAUGGCAAGCCUUAACAAUAAUCUACCUGAGAGUAUGAUCGAUUAGACAAUGAGAACAGUGGUGGAACUAGGGAGAAGUGAACUUGGCACUUGAUUGGAUGGAGGUGUUACAAAAGAGGGAUGGGUCAAGAAGGACUCCUGUUUCUCUAAAGAACCAUUGAGUGCAUGGUGGAACAAUUUACAGUUUAGGGAAGCUGGAAGAGGAGUAGGAGGCUUGAGAAUAGGAUCUGUUUGUGGUUGGCCAUCCCACAUCUGUGUUGUCUAGGAUAUUCAGGUUAAGUCUUGAGUAGAGACAUAGGAGUAUGGGGUCAAGAAAAGAGGAAUAGAUUGGAUUGGUAGUGGUCAUGAGCAUAUGAUAAUCCAAGUUAUGUGAGAACAUGAUAUUGAAAGAACUUGUACUGUGAGCAGAAAAUAAGCUGAGAACCAAGUCUUGAGGAAUCAGCAUUUAAUGGUUGAGUGGAUGAGGAGAAAUCACAAAAGACAUUGAUAAAGACAGGCAAAUGGAAGAGAAAAAAAAAUAUUUAGAAGAGUUGGGAAUUACCAAAAGAAGGAUGUGAGCUUCACAAAACAACAAAUAUUUAGAGUAAAUCCCACCCAGGAAUAAUUCAUCUCUUGUCUGGAUGUAUGAAGACAGGUCAUGAAAUAGCUUAGCAGGAUCAUAUUAGCUGUAAUCAAAAUAAAUAGUUACAUGUUCUCUGCAUAUCAGAGUGAGAGGGUGAAAAAAUUGUGAAAUCUUAUUCUUAAAUUGUG